GACGAGCGACACAAACGUUAUUCGGAAUUACUGGGCUUAAAGGGUGCGUAGGCGGUGCGGUAAGUUGGGUGUGAAAUCCCUCGGCUCAACCGAGGAACUGCGCCCAAAACUGCCGCACUCGAGGAAGAUAGAGGUGAGCGGAACUUACGGUGGAGCGGUGAAAUGCGUUGAUAUCGUAAGGAACACCCGUGGCGAAAGCGGCUCACUGGGUCUGCUCUGACGCUGAUGCACGAAAGCUAGGGGAGCAAACGGG
rnacentral:rRNA from 1 species